GCAAUCUGAAACUGGCGCGUCAGAACCGGACGGUGUUUUUGAGUCUGCUUGGCAUUUCCUGGCUGUGGUUCGUUGGCGCGACGUUCCUGUCGUCGUUCUUUCGGUUCGCGAAGGACGUGCUG
rnacentral:ncRNA from 1 species